rnacentral:rRNA from 1 species
UACGUAGGGUCCGAGCGUUGUCCGGAAUUAUUGGGCGUAAAGGGCGCGUAGGCGGUUUGUUAAGUCAGCUGUGAAAGCCCGGGGCUCAACCCCGGAGGGUCAGCUGAUACUGGCAGACUAGAGUACAGAAGAGGUAACUGGAAUUCCCGGUGUAGCGGUGAAAUGCGUAGAUAUCAAGAGGAACACCUGAGGUGAAGACGGGUUGCUGGGCUGACACUGACGCUGAGGCGCGAAAGCCAGGGGAGCAAACGGG